UGACUUGUUUCUCACUAAGAAGAGAGACUGAGGAGAGACAGGCUGAUUCUGACUUAGAACAUAUGCCAGGACUGAUUUUGAGGGCCUGAUUCACAGCUGAUUUCCAGAGGCAGGCGAAACAGACUUGGAGCACCAGUAUUGAUUCCUACUGAACCCAUUGCUGUGGGCUGCUGCUGAUAACCAGCUUGCGAUUGCCCCCUUCAACUACAGACAGAAAAAAUGAUAAGGACAGAAGAAACCCCUCCAACUAAAGUCAUUUUCAUUUCUGUAUGCCAAAUGUAUCAUGACUUGCUUCUUCCUCCAUUUAAAUCUAUGGAAUUGCAGGACAGUUCUGCUGAGCCCUGGUCCUUUUUGACAUAAACUUGUUGCAUCCCAUGCUGGAACUUUAUAUUAACAACAAGCCCCAUCAAAUGUCAGAUGAAGGCAAUCCCACCCACGGCAGUUACUCUGCCUAGAGGCAGAACUUGAAGAGGCAAUCAGGAGGAAGCAAAUGUCUGCUUACGAGAGGAUAUACUGCCAUUAGGUGCUGCCAGUUGCACAGUGAGAAAGAGUAGGUUUCUACUGUGUUGUUUGCUCCACUGGGAGAUAUCAGCAAGUGAUGGUCUGAGAUCUUCUAUGGGACAUCCCACAGAAAGCUUCUGGUUUUUAAAUCAGGUUUAGCUGAACUUUUUCUGAGACAGAAGCCGCCACCAUUCUAUGGAAGUUCUUGUUUUCUACAUAAGAAGAAAAGCAAGGCUGGAAUACCUUAUGAAUUCCCGCUGAAUUAACUGAUUAGCAUAGGAAGCCCACGUCAUGUUUCUUUGUUCAUUAUGUUCAGCAUGUGAUGGUUGUGGUGAGAAGAUGGUGGCCAUUACUUUCAUGCAUGUCCUCCAUGGUCACUGCAGGCAGUACUGGAACUGACAACUGGACCUGCUUCUACUUGCCUAGCAGGAUUCAGGCACAUCAUCACCUGGCAUUCACUGGUGUGAUCUCCUCAGGCCCCAGCAGGUGAUCCAUUUUGGUGGCUGAUCCAUGACAAGCCACUGUGCAGAUUGAUUAAAGGUGAAGACAGUAUGGCAGUUCACUUAAAGCCAUAGAGAUGCAUAGGUUGCUGUCUGUGGACAGGGAGCUCGACUCUUCUAUGCUGUGAUAAGAAAAAGCUGUAUCUCCAGUAACAACACAGUAAAG
rnacentral:lncRNA from 1 species